rnacentral:rRNA from 1 species
UGGGGAAUAUUGCACAAUGGGGGAAACCCUGAUGCAGCAACGCCGCGUGAGUGAUGACGGUCUUCGGAUUGUAAAGCUCUGUCUUCAGGGACGAUAAUGACGGUACCUGAGGAGGAAGCCACGGCUAACUACGUGCCAGCAGCCGCGGUAAUACGUAGGUGGCAAGCGUUGUCCGGAUUUACUGGGCGUAAAGGGAGCGUAGGUGGAUAUUUAAGUGGGAUGUGAAAUACUCGGGCUUAACCUGGGUGCUGCAUUCCAAACUGGAUAUCUAGAGUGCAGGAGAGGAAAGUAGAAUUCCUAGUGUAGCGGUGAAAUGCGUAGAGAUUAGGAAGAAUACCAGUGGCGAAGGCGACUUUCUGGACUGUAACUGAGACUGAGGCU